CGUAGCUGACUCAGCUCCCUCAUCUUCAUCUCCAUCCUCUUCCUCACCAUCACCUUCUUCCUCCCCACCUUCUUCCUCUUCUUCAUCUACCUCGUUGUCAGCCUCCGGCUCCCCAUUUUCCUCAUUAGCAUUCCCGUGAGCAGGGGCGUCUCUUCCAUUUUCCGCCUCUUCCACAACUUCCUUCUUCUCCUUUAAGUCCUCGGUGGUGAUUUCGGAGCUGGUGUCUACGGCUGCGUCUGACAUGGUGGGGCACGCCGGUGACGCGAUGCAGGGGAUAAAAAAGAAAGCGACAGUUCAGGGACUCUGGCGAUAAAGCUGCCGGAGUCCGCGGCGGCGGAGGCGGCUGCGGCGAGCAAGGAGGCUGACGACGCACAAUGCAAAGACGGCUUUUCAGAGCAGCCAGUGGGGCAGGACAAUGUUUUUCAUCAAAUGUCCUUAGAUUUGGAGGAGGACACAGUGAGAUUCUUCAUUCUUCUCUGUUGGAACAGCCAGGAAAGCGGAAGAGACCUCCAGCUGCACAACGACCUGUCCCCCACACCCAACCACAAGUUUAUGAAGGGAUGCAGAACAGCAUGAAUACUGCAAAAGAUGCUCUGUGCAUCAGAACGUCCAGAAGAGAGAGAUUUAAAUUGCUUUCAGCUAAGCUGUAGACCUCUAGCAGAUGAACGACAUAUUUUCCUGAAGGACUUGCUUCGGUGUGGAAGUGAUUCCGCUGUGAGUUGUGUCUUUUGCGUUGUUGCACUCUUCAUCAUAUUCAUCCGCAGGACCUCCAGCUCUAAAGGGUGUGAAGAGGAUACUGACCCACCAGAAAGAGACCCCACUGCUAGAACGAAUAAGAUGUGCUGAAAGCCGGAGCAUAACUUGGCCAUUCCCAAGAUUUAACAACAAACUAACUACCCAUCAUUAACAGUAAAGAAAGAAAACAAUCAGUAAGAGAUUAUAUAGACCUAAGAGAUGUUACAGACCGAAGAAGAACCUAUGGAGGAAGACAGGAAGAUGAGAGAGAUUUGAAGAUGGUAUGUGGCUGAAUUUGAAGAUAGAGAAAGGAACCGCAAGCAAAGAAUGCAAGAGGUCUCUAGAAGCUGGAAAAGGCAAGGAAAGAGUCUCCCCUCAAGCUCCAGCAGGAAUGCAGUCCUGACACCUUGAGUUUAGCCUAGUGAGACUUCUGACCUCCAGAACUAGAAGAUACAAGUGGUGUUUUAAGGCACUAAAACGAAGAACUAGAAGUAUUGUUUUAAGCCCAUAAAUUUGUGAUAAUCUGUUACAGUAGUAAUAGGCAAUGCAUACACAAGCACACAAAGUAAAAUUUUUCUGUGGUUAUUUUCCAUAUUUUUUCAGUUAUUUUCUGCCUUUUGAAGACAUUAAAGACAUAAAAUGAAUAUGUAUUAGUUUAGGAAUAAAAUUUAAAAUGUAGGAAUGCUAUAAAAGAAGAAAAAAUUUUAACUGGGCUAAAGCAAACCCAGUAUGUCAUCCUAUUACAUCAGCUUCUUCAUCUUUGGAUGAAGAGGUUGGUGACUGUUUCUUCUAAUGUGAGAAUAGCUCCAAAUUGCUAAAUUGUUCAGAAUUUGACAAGAUGAAAGAGGAAAGAAAAAGGAAAUCUUGAAAACAUUUACUGUUUCCUUGUUCAAUGGAUAACACAUGGAUUCCUGAUUGGGAGAUUUUUCCUCUUGCUUUGAU
rnacentral:lncRNA from 1 species